AUAGCUGAGAUAAUAAACAAAUCCAAGGAAAUCUUUAAGAGCCCUAAAUAUUACAAAACAGGCAUCAAUGAGGACUGCCACACAUUACACAAUUGCCAAAAAAACAAAAAGAACUUCAGCAUUCAUACAACAAUAGCAGAACAGCUUCACAACACCUUUCACGCCAUCUUCAUCUCAUCAUACUAUUCUUUACCACAUGAAGGAACCAUUAAUCAGAAGAAGAA
rnacentral:lncRNA from 1 species